UAUCUCCUCUUUCUGCCUACCCGUUGCUCAUUAAUCAACGGUGUAGUUCUGGUGCAGGAGUAGAGUAAGCUGCCAUGCACCGCUGGUCUCAUUACCUCGAGUUCCAGUGGCCAUGGUUGGUGGCCUUUGAGCAAGUCUUAGAUGUUCUUUUGAAUUUCGUUUUGCUUAAGGGCCUAAAUGUUU